AUUGAACGCUGGCGGCAGGCUUAACACAUGCAAGUCGAGCGGAAACGAUUCUAGCUUGCUAGAAGGCGUCGAGCGGCGGACGGGUGAGUAACGCGUAGGAACCUGCCUGAUAGAGGGGGAUAGCCCAGAGAAAUUUGGAUUAAUACCGCAUAAUGUCUACGGACCAAAGUAUGGGAUCUUCGGACCAUACACUAUCAGAUGGACCUGCGUGAGAUUAGCUAGUUGGUGAGGUAAUGGCUCACCAAGGCGACGAUCUCUAGCUGGUUUGAGAGGAUGAUCAGCCACACUGGAACUGAGACACGGUCCAG
rnacentral:rRNA from 1 species